UACAGAGGGGGCAAGCGUUGUUCGGAAUUACUGGGCGUAAAGGGCGCGUAGGCGGCCUGCUAAGUCGAACGUGAAAUCCCCGAGCUCAACUCGGGAACUGCGUCCGAUACUGGUUGGCUUGAAUCCGGGAGAGGGAUGCGGAAUUCCAGGUGUAGCGGUGAAAUGCGUAGAUAUCUGGAGGAAUACCGGUGGCGAAGGCGGCAUCCUGGACCGACAUUGACGCUGAGGAGCGAAAGCUAGGGGAGCAAACGGG
rnacentral:rRNA from 1 species